rnacentral:rRNA from 1 species
UACGGAGGGUGCGAGCGUUGUCCGGAAUCACUGGGCGUAAAGGGCGCGUAGGCGGCAGGCCAAGCGUGCGGUGAAAGUCCGGGGCUCAACCCCCGGAUCUGCCGUGCGGACUGGUUUGCUAGAGCACUGUAGAGGCGAGUGGAAUUCCGGGUGUAGCGGUGGAAUGCGUAGAGAUCCGGAAGAACACCGGUGGCGAAGGCGGCUCGCUGGACCACAACUGACGCUGAGGCGCGAAAGCUAGGGGAGCAAACAGGG